rnacentral:lncRNA from 1 species
UGUGGAGUAUCAUCAUGAAAACCAGUGAAAUACAUGGAAAUCGAUGAAAUACAAGUAUUUCAUUGAAUUAUGAUAAAUUUGACAUGAUAUCACCGUUACAACAAAGUAUUUUGCCUCUGGAAGUGAGAGAAAAACACAAAAGCUUCAACUAAUCACCCGGUGGAGAAAGGUCUUCCCCAACAAUGCCAAUCAAACCAAUUAAGACCUAAUGCUAGAAAGGGACCCGGGUCCUCUUUUGGCA